rnacentral:rRNA from 1 species
GUAAGGAAUAUUGGUCAAUGGAGGCAACUCUGAACCAGCCAUGCCGCGUGCAGGAAGACGGCCCUCUGGGUUGUAAACUGCUUUUAUCCGGGAAUAAACCUGCCUUCGUGAAGGUAGCUGAAUGUACCGGAAGAAUAAGGAUCGGCUAACUCCGUGCCAGCAGCCGCGGUAAUACGGAGGAUCCAAGCGUUAUCCGGAUUUAUUGGGUUUAAAGGGUGCGUAGGCGGCCUGUUAAGUCAGGGGUGAAAGACGGUGGCUCAACCAUCGCAGUGCCCUUGAUACUGAUGGGCUUGAAUGGACUAGAGGUAGGCGGAAUGUGACAAGUAGCGGUGAAAUGCAUAGAUAUGUCACAGAACACCGAUUGCGAAGGCAGCUUACUAUGGUCCUAUUGACGCUGAGGCACGAAAGCGUGGGGAUCGAACAGGAUUAGAAACCCCGGUAGUCC